GCUGUCCAUCCAAUCCAUUCCAGCCAUGGAGGACGAGGAAGAGGUGAAGUCGUGCACUGUGAAAGAGGGAGGAAGAGGAGGAAGAGGUGAAGUCGUGCACUGUGAACGAGGGAGGAAGAGGUGAAGUCAUGCACUGUGAAAGAGGGAGGACGAGGAGGAAGAGGUGAAGUCGUGCACUGUGAAAGAGGGAGGACGAGGAGGAAGAGGUGAAGUCGUGCACUGUGAAAGAGGGAGGACGAGGAGGAAGAGGUGAAGUCGUGCACUGUGAAAGAGGGAGGAGGACGAGGAAGAGGUGAAGUCGUGCACUGUGAACGAGGGAGGAAGAGGUGAAGUCAUGCACUGUGAAAGAGGGAGGAAAAGGAAGAGGUGAAGUCGUGCACUGUGAAAGAGGGAGGACGAGGAGGAAGAGGUGAAGUCGUGCAGUGUGAAGGAGGGAGGAAGAGGUGAAGUCAUGCAGUGUGAAGGAGGGAGGAAGAGGUGAAGUCAUGCAGUGUGAAGGAGGGAGGAAGAGGUGAAGUCAUGCAGUGUGAAGGAGGGAGGAAGAGGAAGAGGUGAAGUCAUGCAGUGUGAAGGAGGGAGGAAGAG